CGGCCAGCGAGCGCCAUUGUGGGUUCUCCCAACUUAGACGCCCAGCUCCUGCCACCACCCCACCCGCUUCUGUCCCCACCAGCGUCGCCGGCCCGGACGUCGAAGCAUGGCCGGACGCACUCCGAGGCCGAUGGCCUAGGCCGAAAGGAUACACGUUCAGACGUUGUCCCAUGUCCUGGAGGAGAUUGGCCGCCUGCUGGCGUGCUUCAACCAAGAGGCAGCGGCGGGGGCUGCGAGCACUUCCCAGCGUCACCGGAGCGGCGACACACAUCCGCCGUGCCGAGACUACUGCGACGUGACGAACUUCCUCCAAGGGGCGACCACCGAGGUUGUGACACACUUCCGCCCAGAAAGCCGAAGAUUCCAGCGCCGACUUCCGGAAUGACCCCUCCGACACCCCGUAGACGAAUCCACAGCCAGUCCGCGGCUAAGAACGGACCGGCGGCCGGGACGCAGGAUCCGGUCGUGUGACCGCCAGGUGGGCGGGACUAUCUGACGUCGUUCUUUAAAGGUCUCGUCUUUCCGCGCGAGAACUGCGGUAAGGGGGCCUCACCGGCGGGCCUCUAGUUAACGCUCGCUGCGCUUGGCUGGGUAGUUUCCGAGGACGUGCGUGAUGGAGGCCCCUUUGUAACACCGGGCUUACGGAAAAAGUGGCAGGGGAAAUAGGCGAGACUCUCAGAAAACCGAGAAAGGACGAGACAGUGAGUGGCCCUGCCCCGUGCAGAAACGCGAAAGCCACUAAAAGGUUCCUGGGUUCUUAGCUCCGGCAUGGAGAACUCCGGCGCGUUUGGAAACCGCUCUCCUAUUUUGUAGCAGCCUUUCCUCCCGUUUCACUGCGGCCAAUCAUCUGGAAGGAAUAAAAUCAACGCCACUGAGCUUCGUUUGAGUGUUUGGGGGGGGGGGGUAAAGGGGCCUUUUUUUAAAGAUUUAUUUAUCUUCAUUUAUGUAUAUGAGUACUCUGUAGUGGUCUUUAGACAACAGAAUUGGGCAUCGGAUCCCAUUACAGAUGGUUGUGAGACACCAUGUGGUUGCUGAGAAUUGAACUCAGGACCUCUGGAAGAGUAGUCAGUGCCCCUACCCGCUGAGCCAUCUCUCCAGCCCCGGGUAAAGGGGUCUUUUUCUCUCUUUCCUUUCUUAUUUUUGUCAUCCCUGGAGCUCAGAGGGGCGUCGGGUUUUGCCCGAGUGCUGGGAUUAAAGGCUUGCACCACCACCCCGCCACGCUCAAGGACACCACCGAUCGUUUAUCGUUUAGGUCUGGAGGCCUUUUUUCUUUUGCAUUCUUUUCUCUUUGUCAGUGAAGGCGAUAAGCUUGCAGGCUCAGAUUCCAAACAUCCAGUCAGGGAGGGCCCAAGGUUAUGCAAGCUCCCCUGCGCGUCAGGUCAGUAGUUCUAGGAAACCCACCCCGUAGGGAAAGGUUAUCAAGCGAAGGAGAUCAGGAGAUAAUUUGUGUCCUGCAUUGGGGAGGAUUAUCAGAAGAAGGAGAUCAAGAGAUAAUUUGUGCUCUGGCCUCACUCCCAGGUCCACUUUGUGAGGUUGUAAAAAGCAAGCUGGGGCCGAUGUCCGCCUCAGCCUCCUGGCUGCACCAGGGUGUCUCUGUCCCCGGGCCUCGGUCGCUGCCUUGAACUCGGUAUUGAUGUUCACACAAUCCCAAACUCUAGAUCUUUUGUUUACCAAGAGCCCACUGUAUCCACCCACUAGCAAGGGGAUUGGCAAUCAAUCUUGAAGAUUUGGGGUCUAUUUUUUUCGCCAGAAGUCCUCUGGGAAAUGUGUCUGCAUAAAUGAGGGUCCCCUCGAGGUGGCUUAGCAGGUAGGAGAGGCUGCUGUCAACUCUGGUGUGAAUUCAAUCCCCGAGAACCCCCCCCCCCCAUCAUAGAUCGAGGAGAACUGACUCUAGCCAGUUAUCCCCUGACGACCUCAAGUGCCCCAAGGCUAAAUAGUUUAGAAGCCCAAAAGUAUCCUAGGAUCUGCUCAUGGAUGAAUCAAAACUGCCUCUACCAUGUGGAAAGUUACCACCAGCACCAUGUGGAAAUUUUCUAAGUUCAAGGCCUCUGUUAAGUCGCAGCCCCGCUCCAGCUUUCCAACCUGAGCGGGAUAUUUACCUGGGAUACAUAACAAGAGCCAGGACUACAUAGAGAGAUCCUGUCUCCAAAAAAAAUAAAUUAUAUAUAUAAAAAAAGAAGUUCCCAUGUUUUAUGUAUGUCACUGUCUCUUUUUUCAGUUUUUUCCUCUCAUAUACACCCCAACUGCAGUUUCUCCUCCCAGUCUUCCCCAGCCUCCCCUCUCCAAGAUUCCUUCUUCAGGGAGUUUUUUUAAUUUAAAAACUUGAGUGUAUAUACAUGUGCUGUGCAUACACAACAUAGCUUUCACAUGCCUCAGUGUAAGGCUAGACAUCAGAGGAUAAUUCUAGAGCGUCCUUUCUACCACAGGACCAUGUUUACCAAAGAUUAAACAUGGGUCAUCAGGCUCAACUCAGACACCUUUACUCAACCGAGCCAUCUCACACACCCUCAAAGCCUUUUGAGAUAGGAUUUUCACUGUAACAGCCCUAGCUGUCCUGCAGGCAGGCAGAUCUCUGAGUUUGAGGACCAGCCUGGUCUACUUCAUGAGUUCCAAGACACGGUAAAACCCUGUCUCAAAAGGGGAGGGCUUGGGAGGAUGCUGAUAGAUAGGGAAUGCCACCUGGCUACCGUACACAGCAGCUCACUACAGCUGUGCUUACCUGCACCAGUCAGGCCAGUGAAGAGUCCAGCAAGGACAGGACAGGGGUGAUGGCUGCUGAGGGGAAAGUGACCACUGGCCAGUUGCCCAUGACCCCACACCCAUGUGCAGCUAGGCAGCACUAACUAGAGUCACUGAAUAGGGAAAGGAGGCCAUGCAGUUAGGAAGGACAAAAUGGAGGGCAUCUGGGGGAGAUGGAAGAGGUGGGGGUGGAUGCAGAUGAUCAAAAUACAUUGCACAAAGUUCUCAAAGGAUGACAGCAGUUUUUUUAAAAGGUAAUGAGCAAAAAAAGAAAAAACAAAAAAUAAAAGGUAAUGAGCCUGCAGGCCAUCAGUGUUAGCUCACACUUUUAAUCCAGGACUUGGGAGGCAGAGGCAGGUGGAUCUCUUAGUUAAAGGCCAGUCUGGUCUACAGAGUGAAUUCUUGGACAACCAGAGAAACCCUGUCUCCAAAAAAAAGAGAGAGAGAGAGAGAGAGAGAGAAAGUGUGUGUGUGUGUGCACUGCAAUUUGAAUGUAACGUAAAUUAAUUAAACAACUCGAUAAGCCCGGCUGUGCUGGCACACACCUUUAGUCUCAGCACUCAGGAGGCAGAGAGAUUGGUGGGUCUCUGUGAGUUUGAGACCAUCCUAGUCUAUAUAACAAGUUUCAAGAUAGCUAAGGCUACAUAGAGAAACUCUGUCUUGAAAAUAAAAGAAAAAGUAAUGAUCCU
rnacentral:lncRNA from 1 species